CGGCUCCCAGGACCCUUUGCUAAUUCCUUUCCUGAAUGUUUGUGGCCGAGAAGAAGCGGCGGCCAGGACAGCCCUCCCUGGAGAGUGCAGCCACGCCUCACUGUUCUCAGUGCCGGAUCCCUCCCUGGCCACCUUCUGGUCCAGACCUGACUGUCACCUGCUCCACAUUUUCCUGGCUCCCCUGCUCGAUCCCGGCCUCCCAGGGAGCCGAUCUGGUGGGAUCAGACUUGGGAUUUUCAAAGGGAAAAAAGCUGAAUUUUCUUCUUUAGAGUUUUUGUUCUUAUAUCUGACUCCUGCUUUGCAAAAGCAUCGUGUUCAUUUUGGAAGCAGCUGUGAUGCUUGUUUCUCCAGGAGACAAAUUAAUAAAUUAAGAAGUCACCGCCACUGCCAGGCACCAGUCCCCCUCAGGAUCACUGGAUGUGAGGGGGGCCCGGUCCCCGAGCUCCCGCAUCGUGUUUCAGUGUCAUUGGAAAGGACACA
rnacentral:lncRNA from 1 species